GCGGAUGUGGCGGAACUGGCAGACGCGCAAGAUUCAGGUUCUUGUGGGGAUAACACCCCGUGGAGGUUCGAUUCCUCUCAUCCGCA
rnacentral:tRNA from 1 species